rnacentral:piRNA from 1 species
UGGCUAUGCGUUUUGUUUAUAUCACAAGG